AACGAACGCUGGCGGCAGGCUUAACACAUGCAAGUCGAGCGCCCCGCAAGGGGAGCGGCAGACGGGUGAGUAACGCGUGGGAAUCUACCCAUCUCUACGGAAUAACGCAUGGAAACGUGUGCUAAUACCGUAUACGUCCUUCGGGAGAAAGAUUUAUCGGAGAUGGAUGAGCCCGCGUUGGAUUAGCUAGUUGGUGGGGUAAAGGCCUACCAAGGCGACGAUCCAUAGCUGGUCUGAGAGGAUGAUCAGCCACACUGGGACUGAGACACGGCCCAGACUCCUACGGGAGGCAGCAGUGGGGAAUAUUGGACAAUGGGCGCAAGCCUGAUCCAGCCAUGCCGCGUGAGUGAUGAAGGCCCUAGGGUUGUAAACUGCUUUUAUAUGGGAAGAUUAUGACGGUACCAUAUGAAUAAGGACCGGCUAACUACGUGCCAGCCGCCGCCGUAAGAC
rnacentral:rRNA from 1 species